AUGGACUUGGCGUGGGCGAGCAGGAACUUGGAGCUUAGUUCCCAUGGCGGUGGCUGUGGAACGAUUGACAGAAAAAUUAGAGAAAAGAGAGAGCCGCGGAGAGGAGGAAGGAGAGAUGGGCGGUGCGGGGCUAGCCUAGUUCCCUGCUGCUGGUCGGCGCGACGAGGGAUGGCGCGGAAGCGGCUCGGGGCGGCGUCGCGGUUGACCUGUUGCUCACCGGAGCUCUCCGAUGGUUUGCGUGUUCGGGGACGGGAGGACACAGGAGGCGGGGAAGCUGCGGGCAAGGAGCUUGGGGCCCUCCUGGUCGAGAUCGAGCAGGGGCAUGGUCUCGGGCUCCAAGAGGGAGGAGGCUGCGGCACGGGCCUGCUAGAGAUGGUCGCCGGCGGAGGUCAGCUGCCGGUGGAGGAGGGCGGCUGUGGAGCUGCUGGUGAUUGGAUCGAUGGAGGCUAG
rnacentral:rRNA from 1 species